AGGUCUGUUAUAGCGAGCUGGAGGCUUUCCUAAAGGAAAGGGAGACUCAAAUUCAACAGGGACACAAAUUAAAAUUACACCAGAUCCAGAAUCUAGGACCCAAGGUGCUACGUUCUGGGUGUGAAUGGUCACUUGUGUGUGAGGCCGUAGGACGUGGGAAAGUCGAAUUCUGAUUGGACGUAAUGGGCUGGGGACUGCUAUCCAAAUGUUAUUCAGUUCCAGCCUGUCUAGCAGCAUGAGACAUCGCACCCUAACCUCCAGCCCGGCCCUCUGGGCCUCUAUUCCGUGUCCACGCUCUGAGCUGCGUCUGGACCUGGUUUUAGCUUCUGGACAGUCCUUCCGGUGUGAGGCUGCUGAGACAAGACCCCACUGAAUGCCUUUUCUCUUUCAUCUGUUCUUCCAACAACAACAUUGCUCGCAUCACUGGCAUGGUGGAACGGCUGUGC
rnacentral:lncRNA from 1 species